rnacentral:rRNA from 1 species
AGUGCUAAGAGAAUGAUUUAACAAUUAAAGGCUUUCUUUAAUUUAAUAAUUGAAUUUAAUUUUUUUAGUGCAAAAGCAAAAAUUAUAAUUAGGGACAAGAAGACCCUAUGAAUUUUUUAUUUUUUUAUAAUAAAUUUAUUAUAAAUAAAUUUAAUUGGGGUGAUGGAGAAAGAAUAAAUAUCUUUUUAGUGUAUAAAAAUUUAGUUCCGUUUUUAACGAUUAUAUGAAAAAAAUACUCUAGGGAUAACAGCGUAAUAAUUUUGGAUAGUUCAUAUAGAUAAAAUAGUUUGCGACCUCGAUGUUGGAUUAGGAUUCUUUUUCGGUGAAGAAGUUGAAAAGAAGAAGUUUGUU